GUGCCAGCCGCCGCGGUAAUACAGAGGUCCCGAGCGUUGUUCGGAUUCAUUGGGCGUAAAGGGUGUGUAGGAGGUUGGGUAAGUCGGAUGUGAAAUCUCACCGCUUAACGGUGAAACUGCAUUCGAUACUGCUUGGCUGGAGGAUCGGAGGGGGUAUCGGAAUUCAUGGUGUAGCAGUGAAAUGCGUAGAUAUCAUGAGGAACACCGGUGGCGAAAGCGGAUACCUGGAAGAUUCCUGACUCUGAAACACGAAAGCUAGGGGAGCAAACGGGAUUAGAAACCCUCGUAGUCC
rnacentral:rRNA from 1 species